rnacentral:rRNA from 1 species
UACGUAGGGGGCAAGCGUUGUCCGGAAUCAUUGGGCGUAAAGCGCGUGUAGGCGGCUCGAUAAGUCUGCUGUGAAAGUUCAGGGCUCAACCCUGAAAUGCCGGUGGAAACUGUCGAGCUAGAGUACGGAAGAGGUGAGUGGAAUUCCUGGUGUAGCGGUGAAAUGCGCAGAUAUCAGGAGGAACACCAAUGGCGAAGGCAGCUCACUGGGACGUUACUGACGCUGAUGCACGAAAGCUAGGGGAGCAAACAGG